AGGAUCAACGCUGGCGGCGUGCCUAAUGCAUGCAAGUCGAACGUGCGGCUUUCGGGCCGAGGCGUGGCGGACGGGUGAGGAACGCGUGGGCAAUCUGCCCAGAGGUGGGGGGUAGCCUUCGGAAACGGAGGGUAAUUCCGCAUGUGCUCGAUCGCUGGUGGGGUGAUUGAGGAAAGGGACGCAAGUCUCGCCUUUGGAGGAGCCUGCGGCCGAUUAGCUUGUUGGUGGGGUAACGGCUCACCAAGGCAGUGAUCGGUAGCUGGUCUGAGAGGACGGCCAGCCACAUGGGGACUGAGACACGGCCCCAACUCCUACGGGAGGCAGCAGCAAGGAAUUUUCCGCAAUGGGCGAAAGCCUGACGGAGCAACGCCGCGUGUGGGAUGACGCUUUUCGGAGUGUAAACCACUUUUCUGGGGUACGACGAGCGACGGUACCCGAGGAAGAAGGACCGGCUAACUACGUGCCAGCAGCCGC
rnacentral:rRNA from 1 species